rnacentral:rRNA from 1 species
CACUAAGCGGGAGGUAAACUCCUUCUAAGACUAAAUAUUGCCAUGAGACCGAUAGCGAACAAGUACCGUGAGGGAAAGUUGAAAAGCACUCUGAAUAGAGAGUCAAAAAGUACGUGAAACUGUCUAGGGUUAAGAAAGCAUGAAGUGUCUAAAUAUCUGAAUGGAGAAAUUCAGUAUCAUAUUGUUGUAGUUAAAUUUUAACGAAGCAUAUGGUGUGCACUUUUCUCCUUGUAAGACACUGCGAUCCAUUAGAACCUUGUGUUAAAAACUACCAUGAUGUGAGUUUUUAUAUCUAUCAAUGGGCCCGACAUGGAGCUUACAUAUUUUAUGUUAGUACUAAAUAUUGUUAAGGUGAUAUAUAGGAAAGCAAUGUAAACUGUUGGUGUCUCGCAUAGAUGUCUGAUGGAUUUUAAGCGUUUAUAAUAUGACACCUUGGUGUAACCAGAAAUGGUUUUUUGUAUUAUAUCGGAUCAGCAGUGUAUUUGUUUAGUAAUCUUCAUGA